UGGCUGAGUGGUAAAGCUCUUGGCUUUCGAACCGGGGGUCCGGGUUCGAAUCCUGG
rnacentral:tRNA from 1 species